UUCAAAACUGUCCACCGCCUGUAUCCAGGAUGCAGAGUAUUUUUUCCCGUCUACUCCGUUCGUAUCCAAUUAGGACGUCGACUAUCCUUAUCCUAUCCGAUAUUAACGCGAUAUUAAAAAACAAUUACCAAAAUAAUACUAGCAGCGUCGAUGCGAAAGCGAUGCUCUUUGGCGCUCGACUUGUCCACACUGCCACGAAUUGUAAGUGUAAAUAUGGUCUUCCAGAGGUCGUGGUAGUUUUUGAUAACGUUAUAGGAAUUCAAGGGGGACGAUGAACUGUUAAACGAAGUUCGAAGUUAUACUUUGGUUCGUUGUGGGAAACCACUAAAUGACUAAACGUAACGCGAUAAUUUUCUAAUGAAAAACAUUGUUUAGCAAAAAUGAGCUGCAUCGUCGAAAAGAUUUUAUACGAUAUAGAAGAACGUGAUUGAAACAGAGCCGAAUGAUUCUCCACGAUUGAUACGGUUUUACCGCUUUAUUCUUGCGCGCUUUUGCUUUAGACGCGUUAAAAAUGCGAUAGUUUCUUCCUUUUUUUUUCUUACCAAAAAGCGUCACAUUUUUUUUAGCGCGGUUAGUCUAAAACGUCCUUUAGUUGUUAAAUAGAGAGAUUAACGACAACGUUACUUAACUUUACGAAAUUAAAACAAAGUAUAUGAAAAAAGAAAGUUACGCAAAUAUCUAUGUAAUUAGCGUCGUCCUCAUAGAUAAACAACAGCAUAACUUGAUACUACGCUAUCUGCAGUAAAUUUAACAAUUAUCCAAGAUAAAUUUCUACGAAAUGAGAUAAGACAAAAAUUUCAGAUCAAAGGUUCCUUUCAGUUUCAACCUUCUUGCUUUAUUUGUACGACAUAAAUCUUCGCAUAUGCAUUCAGCAUUGCACAAACAUUGCAACAAAGUUAUUCGAUGAUAUCGAGGACUUAUCAGUAUCCUGGUAUUAAUCAAAGGACGAUUGGACAAAUCGUUCGUUUUCAUCAUAAAAUUAAACUGCUUCACCGAUAGCAACGUAAUUAUCCGUGCUUUCCAAAUGAUUCACGUAAUAGCGAAACAUCGUAUUUCAGAAGUGUUCUACUAAUUUUUGAAAUUUCCGACAACAAUGUCCCAUGAUCUACACGUUUAGACAUCACGUCGGAAUUGUUCGUCAGAAUGCUAUUUGUCAUUCGAACUUAUCAGGAUAAACAAUGAUAUACAGACGUAUCACGUGCACUGUACGAACUAAUUUGCCUCCUAAUUCUUUGGGAACGUUUGGACAACGUUUCUUUAAAUUCGCCAAGUGUUAAUAAUUAAAAUCGCAUUAGGGAAAAUUCCGUCUCUUUGUUUGACGAUCACUCUGCAUCGUUUCUUUUUUCGCUGAUACGGUCGUAUAUUUUGCAUACACACUCCUAAUCUUCUUACAAGUGAGGUUAUUUACAACGAAGAUGGAAAAAACCGAGGUGAAUAAUUAAACCGCUGCCGACAUAAAUUUUCCCAUCAACUCAAUUAUUUGAUUCAUAACGUCAAUGGUAAAACGCUAGCUAAACGUACGAAAGAUCAACAAUGUUCACCUGUAUUUUUAUUGAAAUAAUAUUAACGAUAAUUAACGAUACGGUUCAAAGCGUACAAUUGGAUCGUUGAGUCAAGAUAUUGCCGAAUUUGUCAAGGCCUUUGUGUAGUAGCCUAAAAAGGAAUAUGUAAAAAGUUAUCAUCGAACGUGCAUCCAUCGUUACAAGGUCAAAUCUUCAUUUAGACCUUCACGAAGCUGCAGAUAUUCGUAAGGCCAGUGAUUUACGAAAUGGCGAUAAAUUCCAGGACAACUUGGACAGUUCUAAUCAAGACUCGAUCAGAGUAUUGAAAAUCUCUUCAAAAGUAAUGGCCAAAACUAUUAAUUUGCAUAUAGAAUGGUUUCGUGGCUUGACGCUCUUUCAACUUGUCAUUGAUUCAAUUCUAGACGCAACAAAUUAAAUAUAAGUUUAUUAGUAUACUCGUUAAAACGUAGCGAUAAUAAAUAAUAAAUCAUCUGAAAUAAAAUGCAUAUGCACGACAGGAAGAGGAUGAGGUAUUUUGAUCUUCUCGUUCAUCUCAACAGGCUAAGAACAUAUUGCCCGUGUCAUUGUUCCAAGCAACUUCUUCUUGUACUUGCUACCGUCACGUGGCUUUAAUUUCCGAGACACGUACAAAAACCUUCUGUUCGAUUUAAAAUAAAAUCGUGUGAAUUUCUAAAUUUACGUACGUAACAAUUACGAUAAGUUGGUACAGAUUCUGAUUGAAAGUAACACACGUCGCGAUGAAUUGUACGAAGCGCAGUAAACCGAUGAAAUUUCAUCGUGAAAAACUAACGUUUAAGUGUUGGAAGAACACAUUUUACAAGAAAAAUCGGAACUCGAAGCGUGUUAAAACAGAAUAUGGUUUAAAAAUUGGAGUAUUCCGUAACAGGUGAUUCGGACGUGCACAGUAGACUUUGAACGGUCGAGUAAACAACUAUUUAUCGAGCCAGUUGCGAACAGAUAUGCCGAGACGUUAUUUACUAUUAGUAUUGUGCGGAGGUGCGUUAAAUCGGAUACGACAGUAGUAUCGCAAUCUUGUAGAUUUUACAGCCGUUUCAAUUCCAAGGGUUGCAAACCGUAUCUAUGACACUAACUUUGUUGAUCCGGACACACUACGGCGUACGCGCAGAAUAUAGAAAGUGUACGGCCAGGUACGAGAUAUUAUAAUAUAUUGGGUUGGCAACUAAGUGAUUUUGUCAUUAGGUGGUAUUGACAAUGUAUUAUAAUGUUCCUCGUUAUGGGACUCGUGCGUCACGUGUGGGAUUAGGGUUGCCAUUUAUAGAAUCACUGAUCUAAGAUAGAGUGCAUUGGUACCUCGGACUUUACCAUUUCAAACUCAGAUACUUUUGACUAUUUUUUACAUCAGGUCCGAUAUCGCAAGAUAAAUUAUACAUUUUGUAAAUUAUAGCCGGAUAGCACUGCGUUUGUAUUUAACAGCUGAACGCGACACUUGAAAGUCACCCCUAGGAAAACAAGCGCGUUGCUAUCCAGUGUAUUAGUAUAGUGCGCCUGACACGUGUCACAUCACCGCGUGCAACGUACAUAUGGCAUGAUGACAAGGAUGAUUGGUGAGGCUACCGGUUUGGACAACGACCGAGUAUCGGGAAAUCCUGAUCGCUACAGAAACUUCCCCCGGACACGUUAAAAACUAUGACAAAUCCAGAAAAAUGCGAACGAAUGGCAACCUGAUAUGGGAUACGUAGCAGAGCUUUUAUUCCGACGACAACAUGAUUUUGACGAUGUUUGACAGGUUUCUUCUGAAUAUUUCGGAAACUGAGGCCGAGCGGUGGUAACAUGCAUAGGGAAAAGUUGUUCAGAGCGACGACCAAGACAACAUAGGUCAUCGAAAUUGGUGAGAUCAUACUUUUAAGUAAUCGCAAUAUAUAAUAGUACACGGAGCAUCCUAUGCAACUUCAACAAAUCGUAGUGUUAAAACGAUAGAAGAUAGAAACAAAUUUGACGAGGAGAGAUUUAAUGAUUUUGAGUGAUGAAGUAAAAAAAAAAAAAAACGAAAAUUCAAUUCUUCAAAGAUUAGUUCUUUUUAAAAAAUUUCGUUUUCAAACACGCACUUGCAUAGAGUAAUAAUUAUUUUGCAAGCUGAUGUAAUAACAGUCGCUGCUUACUGCAAGGUCUAAGUUAAUGACUAAGUUAACAAAAAACAUGUAGUAAAAAAUAUACAAUUAAAAAAUGAAUGGUACGUAAACGUAAUGCAAUGUUUCAAGACGAUUCAGAUCUGAUUCUACGUAUUUUCGGUCGUAAAUUCAAGAAGCUAAGUGAGGCUAGCAACGAAAUGCUCUUUCAUUAUUAAAAUUGUACUGUGCGAUCGAAUGUUCGAAAAAUAAUACUUGCGUAUAAUUUCAGAAGAUAAUUUGUGGAAAAAGAUUUGCCAUCGUUCUGAUAAUGUAAUAUGAUAUUAAUUGUUGUCGAAAUGUAUAAGUGAAAUGAAUGAAAAAAAUUAAUUUCCAAUAUAAUACUUACGAACAUAUAUUUACGAUAAAGUCCGCUGCACAUGGUACAAUUUAUUUUUUCUUAUAAUACGUACAAUUGCAAGUGUCAUUAUUAUUUUACUCGCAACUGUCUAUGUAUCCAUUUCGUAACUAAUGCAUAAUCAAACAAUUAAAUUAUGUGACAGGUAAUAUAAUUUGUAAUUAAUAAUCCGCAAUACGAGCAAAUAAUACGUUCGAUUGUAAAUGUCACGCCUCGGUGUUAAUUAGUUGCUACUCUGUAUAUUUUAUCUUGUUAUAUUUUAAUAUGAUAUUCCAUGCGAUAAAAAUUCAAAUAAAAAUUCAGAACAAGAAACGAAUAAAAAUGACACUAAUUUUCAUGUAACGUGACAUAAUAUCUAAUCAGAAGCAUCGGUCACGACGAAUUUCUACGUUAUUAAUUAUUCGUAAUAUUUAAUUAUAAUAAUUUAAUAGAGUAUCGAUUAUAGAAUCAAUUUUUACGAAAAAUAUUCGAAACAUCGAAUACAGACGAUAACACUUCGAUUCAGGAUCUCGAGAUUUCGGCCCCUUAAUGCCCACUGUACUGCUAUGCAGAGAGAAUCAAAUGGAACUCGUACGCCAGGGGAAGCGUUGCCAGUGCCGUUCCGAGUUCUGACAUUCACGUAUCUCUUACUUUAUUUUCUAAUUAUAAUUAUUAACACUCGACCACAUCGAUCUAACAUAUGCAUUUCAUCUGUAAAAGGACGUUCAACGAAAGAGUAUCGUACACGGUAACACAAACAAAAUUUUGUACCUCGGCCGUGAUGUAAAUGUAUUUAACGAUACGAUCGCACGCACAUCUAAAUAACGGUAAUUAGAAAACCAAGAUUUACAAUGCUUUGACAGCCAUAUCGUACCAGAAAAAUUUACGACCAGGAAAAAUUGAAUGAAAAAUAUGAAAAAUUUGUCAUUGUCGUAUUUUAUCCGAUAGUCGCUUAAUUUCGUUUAGUUGAUAUAAUUGUACUUUCAAAAUUAAUUAUGAUCGACAAAAUCAGAGGGUCCGUUGAGAUUUGUCGAAUCGAAUCGAAUUUCUUGUAGCAUCGACAUAAUCUAUUGCUGUCGUCGUAAUUCAAUUUUAAUCUAUUUGCAUACUUAUUUACUACGAGUUAAUGAUAAACUUUCAUUAUCUACACGUGGCGCUACUUCGAUGAUUUGAUUUACAUAUGUAAUUGAGAAUGAUUUGGUAAACGAAAUCUCAUGGCUCGCAGCAUAACGAAGGACAAAUAUUUCGCUUAAUGAAUUAGAAACAGCAUCCUAUUUAGUACACGAUAAAAUAUAAAUAAAUAAUGAUACAUUUUUUAAAAAUCUAAAUUUUUAAUUUUGAAAUUUAAAUAAAAUAGAUAAAUCAAUUUA